UAUGGGGAAGAGAAGACGGAAAGAACGUGCGUCGGAGGCGGCGGAGUCGCAGGCGGGGAGAGAGAGAGAGAGCGGCGCAGGCGGAGGUCGUGAAGAGGAAGGGAAAGGAGAGAGAUCCGGCUCGAGGCCGGGACGCAGCGGGGGAGGAGGAACUGGCAGAGCAAGGAACCUCUUUCUCGUGCCCUGGCAGCUACUCGGACUCGGCGGUGUUCCUAAAGCCCACCUCCCCUAGGCCACGCCUGCGCGUGCAGAGCCGGACAUCGGCCUCGCCGUCCACAGCCACCGCCCCUACCAGCUGCCCCUCUUCCGGGGUGGGGACUACCCAACUCCUACUACUGAUGCUGAAGUCCUAGAACUGGAAUGUUCUGGACGUCGGGGUUCCUUAGGAGGUUCUGGAGUCAAACUUUGUAGAUGUUUCCUCCAAAAUUCCUUUCGGCUAAAAUCCCACUCAUUUAGACGAACCAUUGUUUACAUUUGACCGAUGACAAAAAGACAUUUUACUUUACCAUCUAAACUAUCAUGAAACCGACGAACAUAUGAGAUCUUGACAAUCGGUCACAUCUCAAGUCCCUAUGUUACGGAUACCAUUCGGGGUUUACGGGGAAGAAAGCACUAAUUUAACCACGAUUGAAAAGGUUUAUAGAUCACUCUGAUGGGAUUCGAACACUCCUAAGAUCGUAAAAGAUAACUACGAACUGGAACUGGUUGCGUGCUGUCUCUUGCGCGACCAUAUAUCGUUCCCGUGACGGUCGGAUUGGGGGCAACAUCGACUCCAUUUGUUACGGAGGAUAGGAAUGUCAACAUCAAAACUAAGCUACUCGUGACCAAACACGCCAAGGACGCCGAUCCCAAACUAAAGUUCUACCUUUCACAACUAAAGGACGCUCACGGUAUAUGUACAUAACAAAUAAGCCGUAACUUUCAAUUUCUUUUGUGAACAAACUAACCAAGUAACGUCGAACUGUUAACAACUCUAAACAAUUAAGUCAAUCUUUCGAAAUCAAACUCAGACGUGGUGUUAAGGAUUGUUAAGUAACUUCCAGAAUGAAACAAAAUAGGAAAAGCCAACGAAGUAGAAGUCACUCAAGGUUCUAUAUAAACUAUUGAUAAUUAUCUACAUCUACAACGUCCAACGUCUAUGAUUUAAAUCCUAAGUAAAUCCGGGACAUGUUGCCGUCCACGAAUACGGUCCACGAAUUCCUUUUUUCUGAUCGUAACGUAGCGAUUAUUUGCACCAGAGCGUUACCCCUCCACGAUUAGUCUCCACGGAGUCAACCAAACUGCAUCCGUGGCCCACUUCGUGGGCACUGAAAAGCCCUCGCCAAUAAAGAAGCUUCGUGGCCGACCGUGACCUUCAUUUACAAACGAAGAGGGGGGGAAAGAUUCGUGGGUACGUCAGGUUAGAACUUUUUUUUUGCCAAAAAAAAAGAGACCGUGGACAGAUUCGUGGACGGCAACAUGUCCCGGAAUCAUAGGUCACGAAAGUAAAGGUGUGGCCAUGACUUAAUAAGAUAUGAUUUAAAUCCUAAAUAAAAAGUCAAUGUGGUACAUAAACAAAAAAGUGAAGGAUGGCAACGACUUGAGAAAACGAACCGGUACUCUUCCCGUCACCCACUUUUACAACCGAAUCUUUAAAUCUUGUAGUUUCUUCACCAGCCCCCAGACCAGCACAAUCCAUUUGUGACAUGUCUCAGUCAGACCGUGAGGACAUGUAGUUCUUAAUCGACUUGGAAAGUCGUCAUCGUGUAAAGACAUAUACUUAAACACAAGCGUAUACAACUAGGAGAAAAUUAUAACAUCCUGGACGGUUUAAAUCAACGUUCAUUUCUACGUCUAAAAAGUAUAUAUCUACGACAAAAAACAACGAACGGUGUACAUUGUUGUGUACAAGCAUCGAAGUAGUACGAAAAAGACUCAAAGAAAAGAUAGUUAACGACUUGAAUACUUCCUUAGGUCAAUAUACGAGACGAGAGUUAACCUUCUAUUCUAAAGCAUAGCUUGUGUGAAUCUCGUUACAGACUAACGUUCAAAAAAUAGUCCUUUAAUAAUUUCCGAAUAGGGUUGUUGACCUCUAACAACCAGGGAAACGCCAUACGAGAUGUGUUUGUGUACGAAAUGGAUACAACCAUAGUGAAACCAACGAUAAUUUGUUGGUUAGAAAGUCUGAAUGGUACGAGCAUCCUAAAAACUAACGCACCGUAGUUACUCAUACGACUCACCAUACCGGUACGAGUAUCCCGUGGCUUUGAAGUCGACAAGAACUGAUGAUAUGGGAUGUCUGAACAAUUAUAUGGUCGGUAACCAAUGUGUUUAAAACUUCAAUGAGUCAAGACUUCUAGGUCAAAGCCACAAACUAAUGGUUGAACCUAAGGAUAACUCUACAAUGUGACCUUGUAGACGUAGAAAUGUAAUGGAAACCUCGAACCUAAUCUAAGGUCACAUCGGAUACUACAGAAAAUGAGGAGAACAUAGUAAUACAAACAAAUAACACUUGAGUAUUCUCCGAUAUAUACCAAACUGCCUGCAAGAACCUCUACUUUAUUCUCUACACGCCGAACAACGGUUGGGGGCGCAGAUAAGUCGUGGGAGAACAAGGAGAUUAAUUCCACUUUUAGUUAUUUUGAAUAAUCAGAAGGGUCUAGUUUCGUUGUUCACAAAUCUGAGUUAUCGGGAGUGAACACUUGGUAGACAAAACAAAAACAUUAUAGGAAAAAAAUAGGUUAUUCUCCAACAAUAAGUACAAUAAUAAUAAAUAAGUGGACGUAACCUACCAAUACGUCAUUCUGUCAUUGUACGAAGACACUCGUUUGUAACUACAAUGUUGUCACGUACAUUUAUAGUAAAGAAAAUAAAUUUUAAGGUGUGGGUUAAGUAUACUCUCAUAGAACUCUUCUAGUCAAGACGGUGACGACGACAACAUCUGUCUUAACCUACUCGAGAAGGAAAUCAACGACGAUGAAAAUCGGGAGUAAAGGAACUCUUGUACAAGUUUCAUAUCUAUUCUUUUAAUGCACCGAUAUCUUCCUAUAUAAAGUAAGUUAUCUUGUGGUUUCUUUUUAUUGAAACUUUAGAUAUAUAAAAUAACUGACACGUGGAGAAGGUAGAUGGUUUAUUGAAGACACUCCAGUAGGACUAGUCUUCAAAUAUGUUGAAGGGAAGAAACUUCGAAGAAAAGUAAGGGAACGAGAGGAGAGAAUAUACUUAUGGACAAUCCGGCAUUAUAAUGGUACACGAUUCUAAAAAAAGGAGACACAACCUAAACCAAUGUUCUAGUUCCCUAUCUUUUUUACUUAUAGCCACACGACGUGUUGUUACCUUGGAAAAGAAAAAAAAUCACACUGAUAAGACAUAAAACAAACGAAGCAGGUUGUUGCCGCAACUGACCUGUUCGGUUACUUCCUUCCAUCCAAUAGGGAAACACAAAUGUAAGAAUACAGAGAGGUCUACGAGAUAAGAGUUAGUUAACUUACUAAUACAAUCAGGACGUCAACAUUAGUUAGGGGCCCUUUUUUCGUUGAUCUCGUUAGUUAUUACGCCCUGAUGCAGACGAAGUACGAGAUGUCCCACAGCCUACCGACAGGAUUCGUCUCCCAGCCACAACACUUGUAUAUCCGUCCUCCGCGGUACUGCGUCCGGAAAUUAAACGUGCUCGACUUCGACGCUUGUGGAAGUAUAGGACUAGUAGACUUUUAGAAAGAAUCAACGAUAUCAUGAGAUAAAGUACUCCAUGAAAAUUAAAAUAGGCUUGAAGAUAUUUACCAACCACCAACCAAGUAAAUAGGUGGGUAAUCCAGGAGAGUGUAAAAAAAAGAAGACUUAAAAAAAUUUUUCACAAGCAUCAUACAUACAACAGGUAGAAUAACAAAGAGGGUUUACAAAUAAUCUUGAGUUCAACAAAAGCGAAUGGCACAGCAUUAGACCACAACCUAUCCAAGGUAAUAACUAACUAAAAGUCGUGGUUAGACGUUUCUUGGUUAACCACCGGUGUAGACUCAGGAAGCGGCACCGUACCUGUUCUGCGGGACGGCCUCGUCCCACACCUACUCAGCCACCGAGGCCAGUGCGUGUGGCCGACCAUGACGAGACCGCUCGGUGGCGACGGGAACGGGCAGAGCUAUAGCGAACCGUAGAUGAAAUCCACUCCCACGACCUGCAUCUCUUCCCCUCUUUUUUGACACCUGCGAGAACGAUCUCGACAUUAAUACGUGUAGGCUUUUCGUCGAUUCGACGUCAAACAGACAUGACACGAUGUCUGCUCUAAGUAAACGUAACGGACAGUACGUAAAGAGAAAUGAAAAGUG
rnacentral:rRNA from 1 species